rnacentral:rRNA from 1 species
GACGAACGCUGGCGGCGUGCCUAAUACAUGCAAGUCGAGCGGACUGACUGGGAGCUUGCUCUUGUUCGGUCAGCGGCGGACGGGUGAGUAACACGUGGGCAACCUGCCCGCAAGACCGGGAUAACUCCGGGAAACCGGAGCUAAUACCGGAUAAUACCGCAGACCGCAUGGUCCUUGGUUGAUAGGCGGCGUACGCUGCCACUUGAGGAUGGGCCCGCGGCGCAUUUGCUCGUUGGGGAGGUUACGGCUCACCAAGGCGACGAUGCGUAGCCGGCCUGGGAGGGUGGCGCGCCAAACUUGGACUGGAGCACGGGCCAGACUCCUAAGGGAAGCAGCAGGAGGGGAACAUUCGCAAUGGGCGGAAGCCUUGCGGAGGGACGCCGCGUGGGGUGAGGAAGGCUUCGGGUCGUAAAGCUCUGUUGGUAGGGACGGGAGAGCGGCGGUUGAAGAAGGCGGCGCGGUGACGGUACCUCACGAGGAAGCCCCGGCUAACUACGUG